GGACCAUGGAAUUUCAAGGGACACUGAAUUUCAAGGGACCAGCAUGCGUUUAGAAUGAAGACAGGAAAAUCCCAGGAGCAGCGGGAGAGAAGGAAUGACAGCUUUGCCGUGGUGUAGAACCACUCUGCAGAAAGCUCCUGCCCCAGCCCGGGCUUGGGAAGUGAAGUCACAGGAGAGCACCCACCGGUGGGCAGUAGCGCCUGUGACCUGCCUCGGGAAGAGGGAUUAUAAUGGCCGGAGGCGAGGCGCAGCUCUCAGAGGAGAGAGCCCAGCUCCCCUGCCUGGGGCUGGGCCUUUUCGAGGCCAGACUUCCCUCGUUCCCUGCAGGAGCAGCUGGGAGCUUCCAUCCGUAGGAUUUGUGCAGAGUCACGGCCAGACUGUGCUUGGUCCCUUCCCCGUCCUGUUUCCCCUGCCCCUCAAUGGUUUCUCCAAGAGCAACUUUGAAAUAAAUUUCUUCGACAUGAAACCUCAUCUUUUGGGCUAUUUCUGGGGAGACUGACCUGAAAAGACCUAAGAUGGUCGUCUUCUUCUUCAGGCAGCUGAUGGACCGAGACCUCGGCCCAUUUAGGUUUUCCUCCUAGGUGCACCUGGGUGGUUCAGUGGGUUAAAGCCUCUGCCUUUGGCUCAGGUCAUGUCUCAGGGUUUUGGGGUUGAGCCCCACAUCAGGCUGUCUGCUCAGCAGGGAUCCUGCUUCCUCCUCUCUCCCUGCCUGCCUCUCUGACUACUUGUAAUCUCUAUCAAAUAAAUAUAUAAAAUCUUUAAAAAAAAGAAGGUUUCCCUCCUAUAUCUUCCUAGAACAC